CCUACGGGAGGCAGCAGUAAGGAAUAUUGGUCAAUGGACGCAAGUCUGAACCAGCCGUGCCGCGUGAAGGAUUAAGGCCCUCUGGGUUGUAAACUUCUUUUAUAGGGGACGAAAAAAGGGCAUUCUUGCUCACUUGACGGUACCCUAGGAAUAAGCACCGGCUAACUCCGUGCCAGCAGCCGCGGUAAUACGGAGGGUGCAAGCGUUAUCCGGAUUUACUGGGUUUAAAGGGUGCGUAGGUGGGUUGGUAAGUCAGUGGUGAAAUCUUCGAGCUUAACUCGGAAACUGCCAUUGAUACUAUCAAUCUUGAAUCAUCUAGAGGUAAGCGGAAUAUGUCAUGUAGCGGUGAAAUGCUUAGAUAUGACAUAGAACACCAAUUGCGAAGGCAGCUUACUAUGGAUGUAUUGACACUGAGGCACGAAAGCGUGGGGAUCAAACAGGAUUAGAUACCCUGGUAGUCCACGCCCUAAACGAUGGAUACUCGACAUUUGUGAUAUACUAUAAGUGUCUGAGCGAAAGCAUUAAGUAUCCACCUGGAAGUACGACCGCAAGGUUGAACUUAAAUGAAUUGACGGCUGAGAGAGACGAGACGACGACGAGGAGGAGG
rnacentral:rRNA from 1 species